CAGCAGCCACGGUAAUACGAAGGGUGCAAGCGUUACUCGGAAUUACUGGGCGUAAAGCGUGCGUAGGUGGUGGUUUAAGUCCGUUGUGAAAGCCCUGGGCUCAACCUGGGAAUUGCAGUGGAUACUGGGUCACUAGAGUGUGGUAGAGGAUAGUGGAAUUUCCGGUGUAGCAGUGAAAUGCGUAGAGAUCGGAAGGAACAUCUGUGGCGAAGGUGACUAUCUGGGCCAACACUGACACUGAGGCACGAAAGCGUGGGGAGCAAACAGGAUUAGAUACCCGGGUAGUCCCUGUCUCUUAUAA
rnacentral:rRNA from 1 species